rnacentral:lncRNA from 1 species
GUCUCCCAGCACUGUCGUUACAUUUUCGGGAUUCUAUUCUGAGAUCUAAGUGUGUCUGGAUUACCCAGCCUGCUUUAAUUUAUCAGUUUUUUUAUCUGAUGUCUCCCAGCGCUGCUGUUGCAUUUCAGGUUUCUAUUCUGAGCUCUAAGUGUCUGUGGAUUACGAGCCUGCUUUAAUAUAUCAGUUUAUUUUAUCUGAUGUCUGCAGUGCUCUGCUUGCAUUUUCAGGUUUCUAUUCUGAGCUCUCAGUGUCUCUGGAUUACGCAGCCUGUUCUAAUUAAUCCGUAUAUUUUAUCUGAUGUCUCCAGCGCUGUUGUUGCAUUUUCAGGUUUCUAUUCUGAGCUCUCAGUGUCUCUGGAUUGCCCAGCCUGCUUUAAUUUAUCAGUUUAUUUUAUCUGACGUCUCCAGCGCUGACGUUGCAUUUUCAGUUUUCUGUUAUGAGCUCUAAGUGUUUCUCAAUUAAGCAGCCUGCUUUAAUUUACCAUUUAUUUUAUCUGAUGUCUCCCAGCCGUGUCGUUUCAUUUUCAGGUUACUAUCCUGAGCUCUAAGUGUCUCUGAAUUACACAGCCUGCUUUAAUAUACCAGUUUAUUUUAUCUGACAUCUCCUAGCACAGUCGUUGCAUUUUCAGGUUUCUAUCUUGAGCUCUCAGUGUCUCUGGAUUUCGCAGCCUGCUUUAAUUUAUCAGUUUAUUUUAUCUGACAUCUCCCAGCGCUGUUAUUGCGUUUUCAGGUUUCUAUUCUGAGCUCUAAGUGUCUGUGGAUUACAAGCCUGCUUUAAAAAUCAGUUUAUUUUAUCUGAUGUCUCCAGCGCUGUGGUGGCAUUUUCAGGUUUCUAUUCUGAGCUCUCCGUGUCUCUGAAUUACGCUGCUGUAUUUAAUUUACCAGUUUUUUUUAUCUGAGUUCUCCCAGCGCUGUUGUUGCAUUUUGAGGUUUCUAUUCCGAGCUCUCAGUGUCUCUGAAUUACACAACCUGCUCUAAUUUAUCAGUUUAUUUUAUAUGAAGUCUCCAGUGCUGUCGAUGCAUUUUCAGGUUUCUAUUCUGAGCUCUAAGUGUCUCUGAAUUACACAGCCUGCUUUAAUUUAUCUGUUUAUUUCAUCUGAGGUCUCACAGCACUGCUGUUGCAUAUUCAGGUUUCUAUUCUGAGCUCUAAGUGUUUCUGGAUUAAGCAGCCUGCUUUAUUUUAUCAGUUUAUUUUAUAUGACGUCUCCAGCGCUGUGGUUGCAUUCUCAGAUUUCUAUACUGAGCUCUCAGUGUCUCUGGAUUAUGAGCCUGCUUUAAUAUAUCAGUUUAUUUUAUCUGAUGUCUCCAGCGCUGUGGUUGCAUUCUCAGGUUUCUAUUCUGAGCUCUAAGGGUCUCUGAAUUACGCAGCCUGCUUUAAUUUACAGUUUAUUUUAUCUGACCUCUGCAGCGCUGUUGUUGCAUUUUCAGGUUUCUAUUCUGAGCUCUCAGUGUCUUGAAUUAUGCUG